rnacentral:rRNA from 1 species
UGGGGAAUAUUGGACAAUGGGCGCAAGCCUGAUCCAGCAAUGCCGCGUGUGUGAAGAAGGCCUUCGGGUUGUAAAGCACUUUUAUCAGGAGCGAAAUACCACGGGUUAAUACCCUAUGGGGCUGACGGUACCUGAGGAAUAAGCACCGGCUAACUUCGUGCCAGCAGCCGCGGUAAUACGAAGGGUGCAAGCGUUAAUCGGAAUUACUGGGCGUAAAGCGUGCGUAGGUGGUGAUUUAAGUCGGCUGUGAAAUCCCCGGGCUCAACCUGGGAAUGGCAGUGGAUACUGGAUCGCUAGAGUGUGAUAGAGGAUGGUGGAAUUCCCGGUGUAGCGGUGAAAUGCGUAGAGAUCGGGAGGAACAUCAGUGGCGAAGGCGGCCAUCUGGAUCAACACUGACACUGAGGCACGAAAGCGUGGGGAGCAAACAGG